rnacentral:tRNA from 1 species
AGUGGAGUGGCUGAGUUUUUAGGCGGUAGAUUGUAAAUCUACUAACGGGUUUUUUACCUCUUUACUA